AUGAAGAUGCUAAUUCCAUCACGCACUCCUUGGAUGCGUGUGGGGAAAGCAAAUAAGAAACGCACCAGGCUGAAGGUUGGUGAAACGGUCAACCGCAGAAUUCUAGAUGGAGAUACUAUAUUUAUCAACAGGCCACCAAGCACCGACAAGCACUCAGUCCAAGGAAUGUAUGCCCGUGUUCAUAGUGAUCACACCAUCAAGAUCAACCCGCUCAUAUGUGACCACUUGGAGCAGAUUUCGACGGUGACUGUGUCCACAUAUUCUUCCCAAGGUCAGUGUCAGCAGGGGCUGAAGCUACAUAGCUCUUCACAGUGGAGAAGCAGCUGGUGA
rnacentral:rRNA from 1 species